UCUCCGUAGGUGAACCUGCGGAGGGAUCAUUACUGAGUGAGGGCCUCCCCGGCCCGACCUCCAACCCUUUGUGAACACAACUUGUUGCUUCGGGGGCGACCCUGCCGUUUCGACGGCGAGCGCCCCCGGCGGACCCCAACCCACUCUUGCGUCCCGACGUCGGUUCAAUUGAUGAAUAUCAAAAAACUUUCAACAACGGAUCUCUUGGUUCUGGCAUCGAUGAAGAACGCAGC
rnacentral:misc_RNA from 1 species